ensembl:snRNA U6 U6 spliceosomal RNA
GAGCUUCGGCAGCACAUAUACUAAAAUUGAAACGAUACAGAGAAGAUUAGUACAGCCCUGCGCAAGGAUGAUAUGCAAAUUGGUGAAGCAUUCCAUAUUUUU